GUGCCAGCAGCCGCGGUAAUACGUAGGAUGCAAGCGUUGUUCGGAAUUACUGGGCGUAAAGAGUACGUAGGCGGUUUGAAAAGUCUGAUAUUAAAGACUGGGGCUUAACUUCAGGAGUGUAUCGGAAACUUUCAGACUAGAGGACAAUAGAGGAAGUCGGAAUUCUCAGUGUAGCGGUGAAAUGCGUAGAUAUUGGGAAGAACACCAGUGGCGAAAGCGGACUUCUGGGUUGUUACUGACGCUGAGGUACGAAAGCGUGGGGAGCAAACGGGAUUAGAUACCCGGGUAGUCC
rnacentral:rRNA from 1 species